UUUCAUUCUUAUCUAUAUUUAAUAGGAAUAAUAGAUUGAAACGUCAUACAAUGGCGAGGCUCAUGAAAUCACAUGUGAGGGUCUUCUGCAUAAGCUUUAUAUUUUUAUUUGUGUGUUAUUGCUGUGAAAGAAAUGAACACCGUCAUACGCAAGCAUUUGGAGUUCCACAACCAAAAGACUGUACUCCACGUUGUAAAUUAAUUUUAAGUGAUUGGUAUUGUUGCGAUAAAUACUUUGGUGAGAGUAAAGAUUUGUGCGAAAGAAACUGUAAGGUAAUAAAAAGUUGUUGUAAGGUAAAAAAAUAAAAAUAAUUGAUCUUGUUAAGGAUUAUUUAUAUUAUAUAAUAAAAAUUAAAUA